rnacentral:rRNA from 1 species
AAUAGUCAUAUUCAUUUGACGUUAGCUGCAGAAGAAGCACCGGCUAACUCCGUGCCAGCAGCCGCGGUAAUACGGGAGGGUGCGAGCGUUAAUCGGAAUUACUGGGCGUAAAAGCGCAUGCAGGUGGUUUGUUAAGUCAGAUGUGAAAGCCCGGGGCUCAACCUCGGAAUUGCAUUUGAAACUGGCAAACUAGAGUACUGUAGAGGGGGUAGAAUUUCAGGUGUAGCGGUGAAAUGCGUAGAGAUCUGAAGGAAUACCGGUGGCGAAGGACGGCCCCUCGGACAGAUACUGACACUCAGAUGCGAAAGCGUGGGGAGCAAACAGGAUUAGAUACCCUGGUAG